AAAACUAUUUCGCUGGGGCCUCUCUACCCGUGAGCGUAUUCCGGUAAAAGAAUAGUCAGGACACAGAUGGCGUUUUUAACUUUUAUCGAACUCUCAGAGGCAUUUAAGGAGAAAUACGCCCACACACAUAACGCUGACUCAGCGAGGACCUCUCUCGAUAAAACUACAAAGAAAUGCCUGAUUAAAAUUCAAAUAAUUAACCAAGAUUCUAUUUUACGAUUAACUUAUAAAUAAUAUUUAAUAUUCCAAAUUAUUUAUAACAGUGAUAAUAAUACUUACAGCACAUGUACACGAUAAUUAAGUUACAUAUGACGCAAUUUAGUGUGUUUUAUUAUGUACCCAUGUCGCUGGUCCGGGACUGCUGCUCCACAGUAAUAACCAGCAAUUACCCCAGUGAACACUGGAUGGCAUUGUUGCUGUUCAAGACUCCUGCAAUUUCGCAGCAGCGCUUCAUUUCUCUUCACUUGGAGUUAGACAGGAGAUGUUUCCGUUCGACAUUCAAAUGCAUUGGAAUUUGAUUUACAUAAUAUCAUUUACAUAUUAAAUGCUCUUUAUUAUUUUCUUCUUCACAAAUGUCAAUCUAAUCAGCGUCAGAGCGUAAGGCACAACACUGUGAAUCAAAGCAGCCGGAAGGCAGUGAUCCUCGCACUUCACACUCUGGAUUCCGCUAAGAAAUCUAAAUGUUCAGUGAAUUUAAGUCUAACGAAGUCUUAAACAACCACCGCAGUGGCUGACGGUUAUUCGUCACAUGUCAUGUGAGCCACCGUUUCCACCCGAGGAAAGGUUCUUAUUAUUAUUGUGCCGAGCGGCGGUGUUUUGUGCCUAAACAGAGGACAACUGAACACAGGAGAACUGAGUGGGAUGUCGGUGUCUGAGAAGGAACACAAACAAACACCACCCCUAAUCGAGAUGGAGGAGCGCUGUGGCAGAUCGAAGUGCCUGCAGAUGACAAGGUGGAAAUGGAUUGGCUCCUGUACCCUUGUCAUGUUGCUCCAUCUGCGGCGACGAGGGAGGAAGACGGAUGGAUUCCACGGCAGAAGGUUGUGUGGUGACGGGCAACCCGGUGGAUAGACGUUGACGUUAAAAAAAAAGAGGCUAUUUUUGUUAGGAAUGAGUAAAUGCAGAUGUAGUAACAGAUUUUUUUUUUUUUUUUUUUGUGAUUAGUUUAAGGCGUUAAUGUGUUGAUGUCUUUAAGUUUACAAAUACUGAGGGGAAAAAACAUUUUUGGCAGAUUUAGAAAUUUUGAUUAACAAUUAAUCAUAAUGAAUCAUGAUUACCUACAGUCGUUUGACAGACAUGAUAUAUGUGCAUAUAGUCCGCAGUUAAUUGCAAAUUAAUCACA